rnacentral:rRNA from 1 species
CACGUAGGGUGCGAGCGUUGUCCGGAAUUAUUGGGCGUAAAGAGCUCGUAGGCGGUGUGUCGCGUCGGCCGUGAAAACCUGCAGCUUAACUGUGGGCUUGCGGUCGAUACGGGCAUCACUGGAGUUCGGCAGGGGAGACUGGAAUUCCUGGUGUAGCGGUGAAAUGCGUAGAGAUCCGGAGGAACACCAGUGGCGAAGGCGGGUCUCUGGGCAGUAACUGACGCUGAGGAGCGAAAGCGUGGGGAGCGAACAGG